rnacentral:tmRNA from 1 species
UGCUAACGACGAACGUUACGCACUGGCAGCCUAAGGGCCGCCGUCCUCGCACUGGCUCGCUGACGGGCUAGGGUCGAAAGACUAGCGAGGUCAUUUACGUCAGAUAAG